rnacentral:rRNA from 1 species
GGUCAAGUUAUUAAGGGUGCAGGGCGGAUGCCUUGGCACUAGGAGCCGAUGAAGGACGUGAUAAGCUGCGAUAAGCUUCGGGGAGUUGCACGUAAACUUUGAUCCGAAGAUUUCCGAAUGAGGAAACUCACUUAGAGUAAUGUCUAAGUAUCAUUAAGUGAAUACAUAGCUUAAUGAGGGGAACUCAGGGAACUGAAACAUCUAAGUACCUGAAGGAAGAGAAAGAAAUUCGAUUCCGUAAGUAGCGGCGAGCGAACGCGGAUUAGCCCAAACCAAUAAAGUUUUCUUUAUUGGGGUUGCGGACAUAUCAUAACGAAGAGGUAUCGUAAUUGAAGAGGUUUGGAAAGACCCACCACAGAAGGUAAUAGUCCUGUAUGUUAAACGAGAAGACUUUAGAUAUGAUCCAGAGUACCACGGGACACGUGAAACCCUGUGGGAAGCAGGAGGGACCACCCUCCAAGGCUAAAUACUACCUAGUGACCGAUAGCGUAUAGUACCGUGAGGGAAAGGUGAAAAGAACCCCGGGAGGGGAGUGAAAUAGAACCUGAAACCCUGCACUUACAAGCUGUGGAAGCACAUUUCUUGUGUGACCGCGUACUUUUUGUAGAACGGGCCAACGAGUUACGUUAAGUAGCAAGGUUAAGCACUUAAGGUGCGGAGCCGUAGCGAAAGCGAGUUUUAACUGAGCGUUCAGUUACUUGACGUAGACCCGAAACCGGGCGACCUACCCAUGAGCAGGAUGAAGCGAAAGUAAAAUUUCGUGGAGGUCCGAACCCACGAGCGUUGAAAAGCUCGGGGAUGACUUGUGGGUAGCGGUGAAAUUCCAAUCGAGCCCGGAGAUAGCUGGUUCUCCCCGAAAUAGCUUUAGGGCUAGCCUCAAGGUGAGAGAUACGGAGGUAGAGCACUGAAUGUCCUAGGGGGUAUUGCACCUACCGAAGACUAUCAAACUCCGAAUGCCGUCAUCUUAUACUUGGGAGUCAGACUGUGGGUGAUAAGAUUCAUAGUCGAAAGGGCAACAGCCCAGAUCGUCAGCUAAGGUCCCUAAAUGUAAGUUAAGUGGUAAAGGAUGUGGGAUUGCACAGACAACCAGGAUGUUGGCUUAGAAGCAGCCACUCAUUCAAAGAGUGCGUAAUAGCUCACUGGUCGAGUGAUCCUGCGCCGAAGAUUUCCGGGGCUAAAACUUACUACCGAAGCUACGGCAUCAGUAAUGAUGGGUAGGGGAGCUUCCCAUACGGGUUGAAGCAUGACCGUAAGGACAUGUGGACAGU